GGGGGGGGGGGGGGGGGGGGGGAGGGGGGGCGGGGGGGGCGGAGGGGCCGUGCGGUUGUGGGGUGCUCGGGUGGCGGACGGGUGAGUGACACGUGAGUGGCCUGCCCUGGACUUUGGGAUACCUUCAGGCAACUGGGGCUAAUACCGGAUAGGAGCUCCUUCUGCCUGGUGGGGGUUGGAAAGUUUCGGCGGUUGGGGAUUGACUCGCGGCGUAGCAGCUUUUUGGUGGGGUCGUGCCUUACCAAGGCUUGGACGGGUAGCCGGCCUGAGAGGGUGACCGGCCACAUUGGGACUGAGAUACGGCCCAGACUCCUACGGGAGGCAGAAGUGGGGAAUAUUGCACAAUGGGCGGAAGCAUGAUGCAGCAACGCCGCGGGCGGGAUGACGGCCUUCGGGUUGUAAACCGCUUUCGCCUGUGACGAAGCGUGAGUGACGGGAAUGGGUAAAGAAGCAACGGCUAACUACGUG
rnacentral:rRNA from 1 species